AAGUAUAUGCAUAUUUUAUAUGUAGAAACUGCGAACGGCUCAUUAAAACAGUUAUAAUCUACUUGACAUUUUUUCUAUAAGGAUAACUACGGAAAAGCUGUAGCUAAUACUUGCUUUAGCACUCUUGAUUAAGUUCUUGAGUGUGUACUUGUUAAGCCUUUUAAGAAAAAAGUUAUUAACUUAAGGAAUUAUAACAAAGAAGCAACACGUAAAUGGAUUUUCCAUUUUUUAGUGUGUAUCAAUCGAGUUUCUGACCUAUCAGCUUUUGAUGUUAGGGUAUUGGCCUAACAUGGCUAUGACGGGUAACGGGGAAUUAGAGUUCGAUUCCGGAGAGGGAGCCUGAGAAAUAGCUACCACAUCUAAGGAAGGCAGCAGGCGCGUAAAUUACCCAAUUCUAAAGAAGAGAGGUAGUGACAAGAAAUAACAAUACAAGGCCAAUCUGGCUUUGUAAUUGGAAUGAUGGGAAUUUAAAACCUUCCCAAAACUCAAUUGGAGGGCAAGUCUGGUGCCAGCAGCCGCGGUAAUUCCAGCUCCAAUAGCGUAUAUUAAAAUUGUUGCAGUUAAAACGCUCGUAGUUGAAUUUCAAAGAAUCGAUAUUUUAAGUAGCACUUUGUAGAUUAAUCCACAUAACUGAUACUACGUAUCGACUUUGUGCGCAUUUUUCUACUUAUGUGUUCUUUUAAUUAAAAUGAUUCUUUUUAAGAUCUUUCUUUUUUGCUUCGGCAUUUUAGGAGAUCUUGUUACUUUGAGUAAAUUAGAGUGUUCAAAGCAAACAGAUUAUAGCAUCUUUAUGCGUUUGAAUACUACAGCAUGGAAUAACAAAAUUGAACAAGUCAGAAUUUUGUUCUUUUUUCUUAUUUUGGCUUAGUUACGAUUAAUAGGAGUAGCUUGGGGGCAUUUGUAUUCAGAUGUCAGAGGUGAAAUUCUUAGAUUUUCUGGAGACAAACAACUGCGAAAGCAUUUGCCUAAAAUACUUCCAUUAAUCAAGAACGAAAGUUAAGGGAGUGAAGACGAUCAGAUACCGUCGUAAUCUUAACCAUAAACUAUGCCGACUAGGCUUUGGAUGAAAGAUUUUAAAAUAAGAGUUUUUCUCUUCGGAGUUAAUUCUUAGAUUGCUUCCUUCAGUGCCUUAUGAGAAAUCAAAGUCUUUGGGUUCUGGGGCGAGUAUUCGCGCAAGCGAGAAAGUUAAAAGAAUUGACGGAAGGGCACCACCAGGCGUGGAGCUUGCGGCUUAAUUUGACUCAACACGGGAAAACUCACUAGUUUAAGACAAGAGUAGGAUUGACAGAUUAAUAGCUCUUUCUUGAUUUCUUGGAUGGUGAUGCAUGGCCGUUUUUAGUUCGUGAAUAUGAUUUGUCUGGUUAAUUCCGAUAACGAACGAGAUCUUAACCUGCUAAUUAGCGGCAAAUACGAUAUAUUCUUUUGUGGAAUUGAAUAUGGUGGAUUUGUUAAAUUUUGAAGAAAAUAUUGGAAUUACUAACCGUUUUUCCUUUCCCUUUUCUACUUAAUUUACUUAUCCUACUAUUUCUUUUUUGCAUUUGAAUGUAUUUGCUUGAUUGUAAAGCUUCUUAGAGGAACGAUGUGUGUCUAACACAAG
rnacentral:rRNA from 1 species